CUCCCAAGGCUAAAUACUCCCUAGUGACCGAUAGUGAACCAGUACCGUGAGGGAAAGGUGAAAAGCACCCCGGAAGGGGAGUGAAACAGUUCCUGAAACCGUGUGCCUACAAGUAGUUAGAGCCCGUUAAUGGGUGAUAGCGUGCCUUUUGUAGAAUGAACCGGCGAGUUACGAUUUGUUGCAAGGUUAAGCGGAAAAAGCGGAGCCGUAGCGAAAGCGAGUCUGAAUAGGGCGCAUAAGUAACAGGUCGUAGACCCGAAACCAGGUGAUCUACCCAUGUCCAGGAUGAAGGUAAGGUAAUACUUACUGGAGGUCCGAACCCACGCACGUUGAAAAGUGCGGGGAUGAGGUGUGGGUAGCGGAGAAAUUCCAAUCGAACUUGGAGAUAGCUGGUUCUCUCCGAAAUAGCUUUAGGGCUAGCCUCGAGGUAAAGAGUCAUGGAGGUAGAGCACUGUUUGGACUAGGGGCCCUUCUCGGGUUACCGAAUUCAGAUAAACUCCGAAUGCCAUGUACUUAUACUCGGGAGUCAGACUGCGAGUGAUAAGAUCCGUAGUCGAAAGGGAAACAGCCCAGACCACCAGUUAAGGUCCCCAAAUAUAUGUUAAGUGGAAAAGGAUGUGGGGUUGCUUAGACAACCAGGAUGUUGGCUUAGAAGCAGCCACCAUUGAAAGAGUGCGUAAUAGCUCACUGGUCGAGUGACCCCGCGCCGAAAAUGUACCGGGGCUAAACAUAUUACCGAAACUGUGGAUGAACCUCUUUAGAGGUUCGUGGUAGGAGAGCGUUCUAAGGGCGGUGAAGUCAGACCGGAAGGACUGGUGGAGCGCUUAGAAGUGAGAAUGCCGGUAUGAGUAGCGAAAGAAGGGUGAGAAUCCCUUCCACCGAAUAUCUAAGGUUUCCUGAGGAAGGCUCGUCCGCUCAGGGUUAGUCGGGACCUAAGCCGAGGCCGAUAGGCGUAGGCGAUGGACAACAGGUAGAGAUUCCUGUACCAGUGCUAAUUGUUUAACCGAUGGGGUGACACAGAAGGAUAGGGAAUCGCACGAAUGGAAAUGUGCGUCCAAGCAGUGAGUGUGAGAAGUAGGCAAAUCCGCUUCUCGCGAAGCAUGAGCUGUGAUGGGGAAGGAAAUUAAGUACGGAAGUUCCUGAUUUCACGCUGUCAAGAAAAGCCUCUAGGAAGAGUAGUACUGCCCGUACCGCAAACCGACACAGGUAGAUGAGGAGAGAAUCCUAAGGUGAGCGAGAGAACUCUCGUUAAGGAACUCGGCAAAAUGA
rnacentral:rRNA from 1 species